UGGAGCUCCGUCCACUGUAUGUGAUACUAUUGCAGAUGAAACUCCUUUGCUCCAUAGUAACAGGUAACCAUGGUUAACAGAAGAAUAACAAUGAUUUCAAGCACCACCCUCCUUUUAAAGCUGUUAUUGUCUAACUCAAUGCAUGACAGAGUGAUCUCCAGCCUUGUCCUUGUCAACACUCUCACCUGUGUUAAUAAGAGAAUCAAUGACAUGAUGCCAGCUGGUCCUUUUGUGGCAGGGCUAAAAUUUAUUCUUUUUUUUUCCUGAUUAAGUUUUUAUGGCAUUUUCAUGGCAAAGAGGAACUUUGCAAUUAAUUGCAAUUCAUCUGAUCACACUUCAUAACAUUCUGGAGCACUGUGUUUGCAAAUUGCCAUAAUAAAAAUUAAGAUAGCAAACUGAAAAUAUAAAUUAUUAAUAUUUGUGUCAUUCACAACAUUUUGUGGCCACGGUUGUAAAGACACAAGACGCAAUUUCCACUUGAAAUUAAUAAAAAGUAGGAAAACACAGAAACGUUACAAAUAUAACUUCAUGACUCGUUACAUUACAAAAUGAUAUUCCGGCCUUUCCUGAAUGGUUGGUUCAAUAUAUUAUGUUAGUUUGUCCUAACACUGUGAGUGCCGACCAGUAAAUGUUCUUCAUGCAGUUCAGACUUGUUCUGGGUUAAAAGUUACUAGGGUCAAUUAUUUUCAAAUCAAUUGGUAUAAAGCACAUUCAGACAUAAACCCAACCCCUUAAAUUUUAGUUAAACUUAUGGAAAGGUGCUCUACAGUCAUGUGUGUGUGUGAGUGAUUUCACACAAUAAAAGAUCUUAUUAAAAGAGCAUACAGUUAAGACACAACCUGUUGCAUUGUCCAGUUAUUGAUUGUAAAAACACAAUGACUGUGACAGCACUUCAGUUGUGUCAAACAGUAGGUGUGUCUCUGAUACUGUAUUCUCUCCACAGAGACAGUGACAAUACUGAGACGCUCUUGUCCUCCAGCUGCAUGCAGAGAAAGUUAUAAAAAAUAAAAAAAUAAUUAAAAUUAUUUUAUGUUCCAAAGUUGUAAUGAAUAAAUCCUGCAAAAUACAUUGAUUAUUUUGCAUUAUUUAGUAUUUAUUAUUUAUCUAAUUAUUG